rnacentral:Y_RNA from 1 species
AGCUGGUCCAAUGGUAGUGGGUUAUUAGAACUUAUUAACAUUAGUGUCACUAAAUUUGGUAUACAACCCCCCACCGCCAAAUUUGGCUAAAAA